GGGUUGUGAGGUUAAGCGACUAAGCGUACACGGUGGAUGCCCUGGCAGUCAGAGGCGAUGAAGGACGUGCUAAUCUGCGAUAAGCGUCGGUGAGGUGAUAUGAACCGUUAUAACCGGCGAUUUCCGAAUGGGGAAACCCAGUGUGUUUCGACACACUAUCAUUAACUGAAUCCAUAGGUUAAUGAGGCGAACCGGGGGAACUGAAACAUCUAAGUACCCCGAGGAAAAGAAAUCAACCGAGAUUCCCCCAGUAGCGGCGAGCGAACGGGGAGGAGCCCAGAGCCUGAAUCAGUGUGUGUGUUAGUGGAAGCGUCUGGAAAGGCGYGCGAUACAGGGUGACAGCCCCGUACACAAAAAUGCACAUAUUGUGAGCUCGAUGAGUAGGGCGGGACACGUGGUAUCCUGUCUGAAUAUGGGGGGACCAUCCUCCAAGGCUAAAUACUCCUGACUGACCGAUAGUGAACCAGUACCGUGAGGGAAAGGCGAAAAGAACCCCGGCGAGGGGAGUGAAAAAGAACCUGAAACCGUGUACGUACAAGCAGUGGGAGCCUCUUAAUGGGGUGACUGCGUACCUUUUGUAUAAUGGGUCAGCGACUUAUAUUCUGUAGCAAGGUUAACCGAAUAGGGGAGCCGAAGGGAAACCGAGUCUUAACUGGGCGUUAAGUUGCAGGGUAUAGACCCGAAACCCGGUGAUCUAGCCAUGGGCAGGUUGAAGGUUGGGUAACACUAACUGGAGGACCGAACCGACUAAUGUUGAAAAAUUAGCGGAUGACUUGUGGCUGGGGGUGAAAGGCCAAUCAAACCGGGAGAUAGCUGGUUCUCCCCGAAAGCUAUUUAGGUAGCGCCUCGUGAAUUCAUCUCCGGGGGUAGAGCACUGUUUCGGCAAGGGGGUCAUCCCGACUUACCAACCCGAUGCAAACUGCGAAUACCGGAGAAUGUUAUCACGGGAGACACACGGCGGGUGCUAACGUCCGUCGUGAAGAGGGAAACAACCCAGACCGCCAGCUAAGGUCCCAAAGUCAUGGUUAAGUGGGAAACGAUGUGGGAAGGCCCAGACAGCCAGGAUGUUGGCUUAGAAGCAGCCAUCAUUUAAAGAAAGCGUAAUAGCUCACUGGUCGAGUCGGCCUGCGCGGAAGAUGUAACGGGGCUAAACCAUGCACCGAAGCUGCGGCAGCGACACUAUGUGUUGUUGGGUAGGGGAGCGUUCUGUAAGCCUGUGAAGGUGGCCUGUGAGGGUUGCUGGAGGUAUCAGAAGUGCGAAUGCUGACAUAAGUAACGAUAAAGCGGGUGAAAAGCCCGCUCGCCGGAAGACCAAGGGUUCCUGUCCAACGUUAAUCGGGGCAGGGUGAGUCGACCCCUAAGGCGAGGCCGAAAGGCGUAGUCGAUGGGAAACAGGUUAAUAUUCCUGUACUUGGUGUUACUGCGAAGGGGGGACGGAGAAGGCUAUGUUGGCCGGGCGACGGUUGUCCCGGUUUAAGCGUGUAGGCUGGUUUUCCAGGCAAAUCCGGAAAACCAAGGCUGAGGCGUGAUGACGAGGCACUACGGUGCUGAAGCGACAAAUGCCCUGCUUCCAGGAAAAGCCUCUAAGCAUCAGGUAACAUCAAAUCGUACCCCAAACCGACACAGGUGGUCAGGUAGAGAAUACCAAGGCGCUUGAGAGAACUCGGGUGAAGGAACUAGGCAAAAUGGUGCCGUAACUUCGGGAGAAGGCACGCUGAUAUGUAGGUGAAGCGACUUGCUCGUGGAGCUGAAAUCAGUCGAAGAUACCAGCUGGCUGCAACUGUUUAUUAAAAACACAGCACUGUGCAAACACGAAAGUGGACGUAUACGGUGUGACGCCUGCCCGGUGCCGGAAGGUUAAUUGAUGGGGUUAGCGGCAACGCGAAGCUCUUGAUCGAAGCCCCGGUAAACGGCGGCCGUAACUAUAACGGUCCUAAGGUAGCGAAAUUCCUUGUCGGGUAAGUUCCGACCUGCACGAAUGGCGUAAUGAUGGCCAGGCUGUCUCCACCCGAGACUCAGUGAAAUUGAACUCGCUGUGAAGAUGCAGUGUACCCGCGGCAAGACGGAAAGACCCCGUGAACCUUUACUAUAGCUUGACACUGAACAUUGAGCCUUGAUGUGUAGGAUAGGUGGGAGGCUUUGAAGUGUGGACGCCAGUCUGCAUGGAGCCGACCUUGAAAUACCACCCUUUAAUGUUUGAUGUUCUAACGUUGGCCCGUAAUCCGGGUUGCGGACAGUGUCUGGUGGGUAGUUUGACUGGGGCGGUCUCCUCCUAAAGAGUAACGGAGGAGCACGAAGGUUGGCUAAUCCUGGUCGGACAUCAGGAGGUUAGUGCAAUGGCAUAAGCCAGCUUGACUGCGAGCGUGACGGCGCGAGCAGGUGCGAAAGCAGGUCAUAGUGAUCCGGUGGUUCUGAAUGGAAGGGCCAUCGCUCAACGGAUAAAAGGUACUCCGGGGAUAACAGGCUGAUACCGCCCAAGAGUUCAUAUCGACGGCGGUGUUUGGCACCUCGAUGUCGGCUCAUCACAUCCUGGGGCUGAAGUAGGUCCCAAGGGUAUGGCUGUUCGCCAUUUAAAGUGGUACGCGAGCUGGGUUUAGAACGUCGUGAGACAGUUCGGUCCCUAUCUGCCGUGGGCGCUGGAGAACUGAGGGGGGCUGCUCCUAGUACGAGAGGACCGGAGUGGACGCAUCACUGGUGUUCGGGUUGUCAUGCCAAUGGCACUGCCCGGUAGCUAAAUGCGGAAGAGAUAAGUGCUGAAAGCAUCUAAGCACGAAACUUGCCCCGAGAUGAGUUCUCCCUGAGACUUAGAGUCUCCUGAAGGAACGUUGAAGACGACGACGUUGAUAGGCCGGGUGUGUAAGCGCAGCGAUGCGUUGAGCUAACCGGUACUAAUGAACCGUGAGGCUUAACCUUACAACGCCGAAG
rnacentral:rRNA from 1 species